rnacentral:lncRNA from 1 species
AGGACUGGCGCAUCCUGGACACCCAGCUCCAGUGGGCAGGGGUCCCACGCAGCUCUCCUCCUUCAGGUCAGGCUGCGGGCCCGAGGGGCUUUCCCUGGCCCUUCCUCCGGGCCUGGGGGGCUGCCUUGAAGCCUAGAUAUGGGGUCGGAGGCACAUACCCAGAAGUCGGGAGCCAACCAGGGCCCUAUGGGCAGCUGAGGCCAGAGCUGGGCCCUGGGCCUUUGGGAGGCCCUGAGGUGAAAAGAGGCAGCAAUGGCCCCCUGGGAAAUGGCUUUGGAGGCCGCUGACUUCUUGGGAGAUGCUGAGCACCCGAGCACACCCACUGCCUGUCCUGAGGGCCUCCGCCUGCAAGCCUGGGACCCUCCGGCGUGGCCUCUGGCCUGGGGGCUCCUGCAGGCUGGAAGUCUCAAUAAAGGCAGUGCGCUUCCCUGUUUGCCUCUGUGUGCUGUGCGGGGGGGGAUCAC